GAUAGAAUGUCUGAAAUUUUAAGUAAUAAAUUGUAAAUUUAUUCAUGGCUAUAUAGCCUUCUAUCA
rnacentral:tRNA from 1 species